UACGUAGGGCGCAAGCGUUUGUCCGGAAUUAUUGGGCGUAAAGAGCUCGUAGGCGGUCUGUCACGUCGGAUGUGAAAGCCCGGGGCUUAACCCCGGGUCUGCAUUCGAUACGGGCAGACUAGAGUGUGGUAGGGGAGAUCGGAAUUCCUGGUGUAGCGGUGAAAUGCGCAGAUAUCAGGAGGAACACCGGUGGCGAAGGCGGGUCUCUGGGCCGAUAUUGACGCUGAGGAGCGAAAGCGUGGGGAGCGAACGGG
rnacentral:rRNA from 1 species